UCGGGAAUAUUGCGCAAUGGAGGGAACUCUGACGCAGUGACGCCGCGUGCAGGAAGAAGGUUUUCGGAUUGUAAACUGCUUUAGACAGGGAAGAAAAAGGACAGUACCUGUAGAAUAAGCUCCGGCUAACUACGUGCCAGCAGCCGCGGUAAUACGUAGGGAGCAAGCGUUAUCCGGAUUUAUUGGGUGUAAAGGGUGCGUAGACGGGAAAUUAAGUUAGUUGUGAAAUCCCUCGGCUCAACUGAGGAACUGCAACUAAAACUGAUUUUCUUGAGUGCUGGAGAGGAAAGUGGAAUUCCUAGUGUAGCGGUGAAAUGCGUAGAUAUUAGGAGGAACACCAGUGGCGAAGGCGACUUUCUGGACAGUAACUGACGUUGAGGCACGAAAGUGUGGGGAGCAAACA
rnacentral:rRNA from 1 species